rnacentral:misc_RNA from 1 species
GUCUCAAACGCCAUCACCGUAUUGGUCUGUUCACCAUUCUUUCACCGUCUAUUUUCUUGUGCUAAUAUCUUAUACUCUGGUUAGGUUUCUGCAAUGUUGGUAAAUUUUGCUUGUCUACAAGUUAUGGGUUUUUGGGAAAAUUUAGUCUUCGAAAUCGGCUAUUAUUUAAUCUUCAACAUAAAAGCAGGGCAAAUUUUGUUAAUUUUCU